rnacentral:lncRNA from 1 species
AAUUUAUCAAUUCCGAUGAACUUUAAGAAAGGAAGCAAAAAUUUCAGCAAAACAAAAAUUAAAAUCGAAUUGAAGUAAUACUAAGAUGAUGAAAAACCUUCAAUAUAUGAGAUAAUAACAACCAACUGAAAAUACAUAUAAUAGUUCCAAAAGGUAAAUUCGGCUUUAUCGGAUUUAAAGCUUUAGGUUUGGUUGUUUGGCAAAUAUGGUUGGUAAUGGUGGAAGGUUAGAUUAAAAGGGGAUAAUAUGAUGUCAGGAGAUGAGAGAUACAAAAAGUGCACCGUUCACACGAUCGUGGGGGAUCCACGAUCGACAAGGAGGGCGGUACACCACGGCUAGAAUUUCGGCAACGGGGAAAAAGAAGAUGAGAUAGUGACUCGGAAGAAGAGGAGGGAUAGAAGUAGAAGCCGAUCUUGUCACGAGGAAGAAGCGACAACGAUCAAGUUGAGGAAGAAGACGAUCUCGGCGCGAGGAAGAAGAGUCGAUGAUCUCACCGGGAAGUGGAACACCAAGGAUAUAGAUUGAGAGUAGAAUUUUCUAUUCAUCCAAAUAUAUCCCUUAAGGUUUCAAGAACCAUGUAUUUAUAGUGUUGAAAGCUCUCUGAUAAUAAAUUAUUGUCUUUUCGUUUUCAACACAACACGGUCACCCAAGAGUCAUGCAUAGAAAACGAAGCAACUUUGGGAAUUUCAAAGGUCUUUCUUUUAUUUUUUUGGGGAAUUCCAAAGGUCUUUUUGGGAUUGAUUUUUUGUUUAUGGGAUAAAAGGGUUUGGGUUAGCCAAAUCAACUAAAACCAAAUGAUUUAAGUCCGAAUCAAACACGAACCUACAAAAUAAAAGAAAAUUGCAUUUGAAAAUAAAACGAGAUUUAUUUGCUGCAUCAGUUCCCCUCGAGUUGGGGAAAUCUCGACUUCGUCGAGAUGGCAUCCUGAUAUCUCUGGUACAAGUCCUCUUGAAGUUGGCGCAACUCCGCCUCAGAAAUCCAACUGCUAUCGGACAAUGGUCGUCCACGCCAACGCACCAACUAUCGGCGAUAAGUACCACGUCGGCACAUCCAGAAUAUCCUCCACGCCAUCUGAUGGAGUUUCAAUGUCGGAGCGAGAUGUCAAGCCAUCAAUAUCGACAGUAGAGGGGGCCUUUCCAUGGUACUCGUAUAGCUCGCUGACAUUGAAGAUCGGAGACGUCGAUACUUCUGGAGGUAGAUCAAUUAGAUAAGCAUUUUCCCCUAAUUUCUUCAGAAUUUUGAAUGGCCCGUACUUUUUCCUCUUCAACUUGCUAUAGCCUCCAGCUGAGAACCUUUCUUUUCUAAAUAGAUUAAGACAUUAUCUCCAUUAAAAGUCAUACCUCAGCGAUGUUUAUCAGCUGACUCCUUGUACUUGACAGUAGAAUCCCGCAACCUCUGAUGAACUUGUUGUUGCACCUCUUGAAUUUGUUUUAGGUAAUAGUUGGCAUCUGCACUAACUCUACCAGGGUAAGGUAUUGGUGCUCGGUCAAGAAAGUGGGCUAUAGGACAGCCAUAUAAAGCUUCAAAAGGAGAUUUUCCAAUGGUUCGGUUUAUGGAACUGUUAUAAGCAAAUUCAGCUUGAGGUAAAUUAAAUCCCAUUGUGUUGGUUUUUCUCCAACUAAACAUCUUAAGAGAUUACCCAAAGAUCGAUUUACUAUUUCCGUCUGCUCGUCAGUUUGUGGAUGGUAUGGGCUACUGAAAUUCAGUUUGCUUCCUGCCUUCGACAUUAAAGUUCUCCAAAAAUGACUAACAAAUUUUGUAUCUCGAUCAGAGGUAAUUGAUUUAGGAAUGCCAUGUAAACGUACAAUUUCAUUGAAAAAUAAUUUUGCAAUAUGUGAUGCAUCAGAAGUUUUCUUGCAAGGAAUAAAAUGAGCCAUUUUCGUAAAACGAUCAACAAUCACAAAAACUGAAUCAACUUGGCGUGCAGUCUUGGGUAGGCCUAGGACAAAGUCCAUGUUAAUAUCCUCCCAGGGCACAUUGGGAAUGGGCAGGGGAGUAUACAAGCCAGUAUUUUGAGUUUGUCCUUUAAAUGAUUGACAAGUCUUACACCGCUGAACAAACCUUUCAACGUCCUUCCUCAUGUUAGGCCAAUAAUACCUCUCUUGAACUAAUCCCAAAGUUUUGUCUCUCCCGAAAUGUCCUCCUAGCUCGCUAUGCAAGUUCUGAAUCAAGGACUCUCUUAACGAUCCCUGGGGAAUGCACAACUUGGACUUUCUAAAAAGAUACCGGCCGUCCAAACAGUAAUCAGAAGGUGAAUCACUAUCAGGAGAUAGGCACAUUUUUAGGAUAGGACCGAAGUUAGGGUCAUUUUGAUAUUGGUCCUUAACUAUCUCAAAUCCUACUAUCUGUAAGGAAGAAAUGAUAAGCAAAUAGUUUCUACGACUGAGUGCAUCAGCGACUCGAUUAGCAAUGCCUUGUUUAUGCCGCAAGUGAAAAGUGUAUUCUUGCAGGAAUGCAGACGCAUGUCUUUUGUUCGAGUUUUUUUUGAGAAUUUAAAUAUCGCAAUGCUUCAUGAUCCGAAUUAAGAAUAAACUCUCGAUGAAUCAAGUAGGGUCGCCAAUGUUUCAAAGCCUGCACGAUCGCGUAAAAUUCAAGAUCAUAAGUGGAGUAACGUACUCGUGCAUCGUUCAAUUUUUCACUAAAGAAGGCUAUAGGACGUUUCUUUUGAGACAGUACGCCUCCAAUUCCGAUAUGUGAGGCAUCACAAUCAAUCUCAAACACCUUUUCGAAGUCGGGCAAGGCAAGUACUGGAGCCUUUGUAAGUUUGUCCUUAGCCAAUUGAAAACUUUUUUCAGCUUCAGAUGUCCAAGUAAAUUUACCCCCUUUUAGGCAAUCAGUUAUUGGCGCAAUUAAUGAACUGAAAUUUCGAAUGAAACGCCGAUAAAACGACGCAAGUCCGUGGAAACUUCGGAUUUCAGUUAUAGUCUUUGGGGUUGGCCAAUUCUGAAUUGCUUCUAUCUUAACAGGAUCUACCUUAAUUCCCUCGGUGGACACCACAUAGCCUAAGAAGGUAAGGCUAUCGGUCAGAAAUGUACACUUCUUAAGAUUCAGAUGUAAGCUGUUAUCUCUUAAAGUUUGAAGCACUUGUCUUAAAUGAUCCAUAUGAGUUUCAGGACUCGUGCUAUAAAUCAGAAUGUCGUCGAAGUAAACUACGACAAAUUUUCCAAUGAAUGGUCGCAAGACUUGGUUCAUAGAGCGCAUGAAAGUACUAGGGGCAUUGGAUAGCCCAAACGGCAUAACCAACCACUCGUAUAAUCCUUCUUUAGUUUUAAACGCCGUUUUCCAUUCAUCUCCAGGUCGAAUACGGAUUUGAUGAUAUCCGCUCUUAAGGUCAAUCUUAGAGAAUAUCUUCGCACCUCCUAACAUGUCAAGCAUAUCAUCAAUCUCAGGAAUGGGAAACCUAUACUUGAUGGUAAUUUUGUUAACUGCACGACUGUCAAUACACAUUCGCUACGUUCCAUCCUUUUUUGGUGUAAGGAGGGCAGGCACCGCGACAGGGCUCAUACUUUCUCUAAUGUAACCUUUUUGCAGAAGUUCAAAAACCUGCCUAUAUAACUCUUCAUGCUCAGCGGGACUCAUCCUGUAAUGGGCUAGGUGUGGAAGACUAGCACCGGGUACAAAAUCAAUGCAGUGUUGGAUGUCUCUCAUAGGUGGAAGGCCAUCGGGGAGUUCCUCAGGCAUGAUAUCAGAAAAUUCAUUAAGCAAUGGUUGAACAACUUGAGGAACUUCAGUGUUCUUCGAUAUUUCUUUUGCCAAAAGAAUAUAUACCACUGGAGACUUUGCUAGAUCUUUAGAGAAUUGGCUUUUGUUCAAAACCAUCAUUUUCUGCUCAUUAUUGGAGGGUUGCUUUUGGGACUCAAUUGGCUUAGACUUUGGUUUGGGAAAGUAAUUUAGGGGAACCAAUCUAACUUUCUUUUUGUCCUUUUUGACAAUGUAAGUGUUCUCCCUACCAUCAUGUAUAGUGCUACGAUCAAAUUGCCAAGGUCUACCUAACAAUAGGUGACUCACAUCCAUGGGAACAACAUCACACCAAACUUUAUCAGCAUAAGUUUUCCCAAUAGAAAAUUCAACAAGACAUCUUUUAGUUACAGGAAAUUCAUCCCCAUCCUUAAACCAAGCUAUUUUGUAAGUUUGAGCAAGUUUUUCAGUUUUCAGUUUAAGCUUAUCAACUAUUUCUCAAGUGACAAAGUUUUUAGUACUUCCACUAUCAAUGACCAGAGAGCAAAACUUGCCUCCCGUGCUACAAAUGGUUCUGAAAAGGCUACGACGCUUCCAAUCAUCUUGGGUGGACUUAGAGGCUGAUAGGACUCGAUGGAUCAUGAGAUUUGUUUCAGUAGCAUCAGGAGAUUCUUCGGAAAUCUCAUCAACAUCUUCUUGUUCUAAAGUUUCUUCCCCAUUUUCAUUCUCUUCAUGACUUUCUAUUAGAUUGGCUCUAGAAUCAAAUUUUCUCAAAGGGCAAUCAGAGGAUUUAUGUCCAGGUUUGUUACAUUUAUAACAAAUGAUGCCAGAUUCAGCGGGUUUUGCACCUAAAAUUCCUUUGCCCUUGAGGUCUUGAACAAGUCUUGAAGAGGUAAUUAGUUUGAACUUGUUUCCACCACACUAAGGCAUGUCCUUUCAAUUUAAGGGAGACAAAUUUAACUUUUUUGUCAUCAGGUAAUUCUUUCCAUUCAAAAAAUUGUUCUAUUUUGUCUAGCCAAUCCACAAAAUCUUCAGGUUGUAAUUUACCCUCGAACUCACUCACGUCCACUUUAAUGCCCUGAUCCCAUCUAUGUAUAUUUCCUUGAUUUUGAAGAAGAGGAUUUCUUCUAACAGGUACAGUACGAUUGUCAAAAUCAGGGUCACUUUCCGAAUCUUCUCCAACUGCAGUUUGUUGUUGCAUACUUAAUCUUUCCAAUAGUUGUUGAAUGUUAUUCAUUUGAUUUUGCAUGCGUUUCAUGGAAUCUUGUUGUUUCUCAUAUGCUUCUCUCCAAUCACGAGGAUUUUCACUACUGCCAGCCAUUUCCAAAUGCUAACAAGUUGAUCAAAAAGUGAUGCCCUUUUUUUUUUGAAUAUUUUGGCCCAAAGUUGAAUACUAAGAAAAAGUUGUUUAGAUCAAAACAAACGCUGCCACGAAAAGAACUUUCUCUGAUACCAAUUGAUGCAAACCGAGAAGUUGCCAAAAGUGAAUUUUCACAUUUGCUUUUGUUUAAAGGUAAAACUAGGUUCAAUUUGUCAAUUCCGAUGAACUUUAAGCAAGGAAGCAAAAAUUUCAGCAAAACAAAAAUUAAAAUCGAAUUGAAGUAAUACUAAGAUGAUGAUAAACCUUCAAUAUAUGAGAUAAUAACAACCAACUGAAAAUACAUAUACUAGUUCCAAAAGGUAAAUUCGGCUUUAUCGAACUUAAAGCUUUAGGUUUGGUUGUUUGGCAAAUAUGGUUGGUAAUGGUGGAAGGCUAGAUUAAAAGGGGAUAAUAGGAUGUCAGGAGAUGAGAGAUACAAAAAGUGCACCGUUCACACGAUUGCGGGGGAUCCACGAUCGACGAGGAGGGCGGUACACCACAGGUAGAACUUCGGCAACGGGGAAGAAGAAGAUGAGGUAGUGACUCGGAAGAAGAGGAGGGGUAGAAGUAGAAGCCGAUCUUGUCAUGAGGAAGAAGCGACAACGAUCAAGUUGAAGAAAAAGACGAUCUCGGCGCGAGGAAGAAGCGUCGAUGAUCUCACCGGGAAGUAGAACAACAAGGAUAAAGAUUGAGAGUAGAAUUUUCUAUUCAUCCAAAUAUAUCCCUUAAGGCUUCAAGAACCAUGUAUUUAUAGUGUUGAAAGCCCUCUGAUAAUAAAUUAUUGUCUUUUCAUUUUCAACACAACACGGUCACCCAAGAGUCAUGCAUAGAAAACGAAGCAACUUUGGGAAUUUCAAAGGUCUUUCUUUUAUUUUUUUUUUGGGG